GUUACCAGUGUCCUUUCUGCUGUGCACCGGGACUAAACCCAGCUGAUAAAUUGGGUUCAGGCCCAGAGGGUUGCCAGGUUCCUUCCCAGGCCCUCUGAUGGUGCCCCAACCCAGCCCUGCUCUGCUCACAGCUCCUGUGCCCACAAAUCUGGACACACCUCACAUGCCCAGGCAAGGCUGCGCUAGCGCCCUGCGGCCGGGAUGGUCCUCCACUAGGGACUGGAGGUGCUGGGGAGUUUGCUUACGCUGAGAGGGUGGCCCAGAGGGGCAGCGGGUGGUGCCUGGGGAGAGGGGGAUAGUAAAUUGCAGGGUUGGGGAGAGGCUUAGCCCCACAAAGUGCGCUAGUCGCGCUGAAACCUAGCUGCACAGGCAGAUCCACUCGCCCACGUAACCACUGUGCCGCAGCCACACCAGGGGCACGCUUCCUGCCCAAAGUGCCCCCGAGCCCACACCCACUCCCAUGUUCAACCAUCGUGUGCCCGCCCAGGCGAACCUGUGCCCCAGCCCAAACAUUUAACCCCAUGCACGGGCUUCGCUGCCAGCCCCCUUCCCAGAGAUACAUCUGCCCCCGAAAUCCUCCACCUACGCGCGUUCUGCGCCGUCUCCCCGGCCUCCUGCGCCUGGAACGCCCACCCCGCUGUCCCCUCCCGCCUCCAUCUCCGACCCGGCAGCACAGCGGGCGUCUGCAGGCACGGGUUAGCUGAAGACGGGCGAAUUCCGAGGCGCAUUAGGAAAGGAUUUAACGUCAGGACUCAGAGAGCUAGUACGCAAGGAAUCUCCAGGGAGAAAGCCCUGUGGGCCAAAGGACUGUGCAGACCUGUCCCAAGUCUGGAAUGGCCAUGCAGGAAUUUGAGGACAAGGUCCUUGCCUGAAGAUGGUGCUGCUACGGGCAACUCCUUAAGCUCACUCUACUCCUCCCCACCUCUGACCGAAGACAGCAGCGAAGGAAAACAGACUUAUAAACAACUAUCACACAUUUCUCCCAGCAGAGGUCAAGGCAGUCAUUCAGGACAAGGCACAGAUACACACACACCAGAUGCAGACACACGUACACUGUGCCCCCUCAUAACUGCUGAAAUGUGCCACCCACAGCCUCAGUCUCAAGAUAUGUAUCAAUAUUUUCAGGUGCACUAUUGGGUGGGGCCUGGAAUUCCUUUUGCUGCCUGAGAUUCCUCUAAGCAUCUGCCUUCUGUCUAAUACUCAGCCUGUGUGGUUGGGAGCAUGAUGCCCUCCAUCCCACAAACACCUGAGCACCUAAUAUGUGCCAAGCACUGAAGAUAGGUAGGACGUACUCUCUGCCUGUGUGAUGGUAAAUGCUUCAACAGGGGAUUUAACCCAGUCUUUUGGGAUCACCGAAGAACUGCCAACCAUGCAGGGUGGAGUUUAGCUAGGGAGCAUCUCUGAGAGAGUCCUGACAUUGACUUGAAUAUUGAAGGCUAAGGGAGAGUUCACCGUGUAGCAGAGGGGAACAUACCAAGGAGAGGCACUGCAUAAUGCAAAGGCAUGGAUGUACAACAAAGCUGGGGCUAUUGGGGGAAUUACAAGCAGUUUAUGUAGCUGGAGUUCAGAUAAGAAUGGGGGCUAUGUAAGGGAAUAAGGCUGGAAGGGUAGGUUAGGGUCAAUUUAUGGAGGGCUUAGCUCUAGGCAGCUCCUUUUAUAAGAAAGAUGGACCUCUUAGCCACAUCCAUACCACCAGCUAGCCCGGGAAGGAACAGAUUAUUUGUCUGGAAUUCUGAAACUGGUAUCCUCUGGCCAAUAACAAGGGAUCAUUUGUGUGGGGAGGAAGCCGCACGCUCUUAAUCUCCAUCAAUCCAUCCAAAACCACUCCAAAUAAACACCAAACAGCGUAAAGCCAGUGUGUUUGCCUUAUUUAAAAGCAAUCCCCCAGCCCUUCCAACCUGUCUGUCUCCUCCACAUGCUUCCUUUUUUAUGGAAGCUGUGGAGCUGCUGAAGUGAUAGGUUUGGUCUGGCCUCUCAGCCACUGCUGCCAUGACCCACCAACCUGAAUGUCCCUUCUUUCCCAACCCACCUGCUCUGGGCUCAAGUUCCUCGGGUGACUCAGUCCCCAAGUGAGGCUUCUGUCCCCAGUCUCACUCACACUUGGCCUCAGGUUCCUCUCCAAUCUUACAAGCACAUGUUGAAGUUACAUCAUGUCUAAGUGUCAUAAUAUACAUAUCCAAGCCCACCCACUCUACAGCCUCCCUCACAGCUUGGCCCAUAGAUAAAUAAGCCAUACGUGUUUGACAGCCAACAGAUAGCUGGGGAGUGGCCAGUGCAUUUUAGCUAUCAUUUAUUGAGCACCUCUUUCAGGCAUCGGUGUUGCCAAGAAGAAUAAGACUUAGUCCCUAUCCUCAAGGAAUGUCCAAUGUAGUAGGAAAGGCAGCAACACUUAGCAUAGUUAAGUGCUGUGAUUGAGAUAAAUUCAGGGUGCAAUGUGAACGCAAGGACAGAGCACUCCAGGAUGGGAAUAUGGGACAAUUAGUCAGGGAAGAUUCUGGAGAAGAUGCUAUCUGUGUGGAGUCUAGAAAGCACGGCAAGUCUGGCCCAGAGAAGAUGGAACAAGUGGUGAGGAGGAGAUAUAGCAAUGAUUAGGAGCCAAGUCUACAAAAAUUAAAACACACUGGGGUCUACCCCAUUUCCUUUGCAAUGGGGUGCCUCAUCAGAGAAAUUUUGCCAGAUUUGAGUGAUAGAUCAAAUUCCAAUGAUAUUCGAUGCAGAUAGGUUGGGAAAAUGUGGAGCCUACUGUAAUACUGUUAUAUAUAUGUACAGAUGUUUAAACAACUAUUCCCCACACUGAAGAAUAGAUGGAGGUCAUCGAGAUCUAUAGUAGCACAUGAGACAGGGUUGGGACCCAUAUAAGACUUCUCACAAUUUGGAUGAAGUCAGAAAAAGCAUUUUUAUCAAAUUUUCACAUGACAUAGAACUGGAGGAAUAAAUGAUAAAACUGGAUGAUAGAAGCAAGAUAUAAGAUGAUCUAUAUAAGUUGAGAUUUAAUAAAGAUAAGUGAAAAAGUCUUGCAUCUUGGUCCAAAAAAAACAAUAAAGGAUACUUGCUUUGAUAGCAGUUCAUGUGAAAUGACCUUAUUUGGGUAAGGCAGGGGAAGUGCAGAAACUAUUGAAAAAGGAGAUCCUAGCUAAUCACUAGUCUGAAAUAAACUAGAAAUGUAAACUUCUAAAAGGUCUGGUGCCAUUUUGGAUAGAAUCCAGAGCUCAGAAUAGGGGGGUGGAGGCAGGGAAGUGGGGGUGGGUAACAGUGUACUUCAAGCUGUUAAGACACAAUGGCAGUUUUGUGCUUGAUUCUGUUGCCAUGUUUUAAAUGGCUUAUUACAACCUUGAAGGAAACCUGGGUGGAGAUUAAUACAACCCAAGAAUAGCUGAGAUACUGGAGAAGAGGAAUCUUGGUGGAGGAGAGUCUGGCAAUUUUAACUGUUUAUUGGAUAAAAAAGGGGUUCAGUUGUUCUGUGUUUUCAUUAGUCAUAGAAGGUUAACUUAGUAAGAAACAACUUCAGAAUGGUAAAUUUAUGUUUGUUCCAAUCAAGCAGGGCUCUGAUCCACAUUGUCAUGCAAGGCCCAAGGAUCCUUCCAUCAUGGAGCUCCAAGAUUCUUCCACCUUCUCAUUCAGCCAGUAGAUGGAGAGAGAGGAGGAAAAAUGUGGAAGAUUGCACAGAUGUUUUCAAAGUUAAUGUCUGGAAGAAGCAAACAACGCUCUGUCCACAUUCUUUUGACCAGAACUCAGUCAAUGGCCAUAUCUUACAACAAGGCAGGCUAGAAGAUGUCAUCUAACUGUGUGCCUAGGAGAAAAAGGCUGCGGGUGUGGGCUUUAGUGUUGUAGACUUGAAACAGACUGCCUUAAGAUUGAGAAGUGUUAAGGGUUUAUUAUACCCACACAGACACUUGCACACAAAUAACACAGACGUAGUAGCAUAAUUCAUAAAAAUCAAAGGCUAAAUGUCCAUCGACUGGUGAAUAGAUCAAUAAAAUCUGGCAUAUCCAUACAAUGAAACACAAUUCAGCAAUAAAAGGACUGAUCUACAAAUACACACUACCACAUGAAUGAAGGUCAACAACAUUAUACACAGUAAAAGUAGCCAAUCACAACACCACUUAUCGUAUGAUUCCACUUAUAUGAAAUAUCCAAAAAAGGAAAGCUAUAGACAUAAAAAGUAGAUUCAAGGGAUAGGGGUGGGAGUGGGGUGGGGGCAGAGUGAACAGUAAGUGGGCACAAGAGAUCUUACCGGGAUGAGAAAAUGUUACGGUGAUGGUUGCACAACUUGGUAAAUUUAUCGAAAAAUAAAUGAAUCAUACAUUUGAAAAUA